AUUGAACGCUGGCGGCAUGCUUUACACAUGCAAGUCGAACGGUAACAGGCCGCCAGGUGCUGACGAGUGGCGAACGGGUGAGUAAUGCAUCGGAACGUGCCCAGUCGUGGGGGAUAACUACUCGAAAGAGUAGCUAAUACCGCAUACGAUCUAUGGAUGAAAGCGGGGGACCGUAAGGCCUCGCGCGAUUGGAGCGGCCGCUGUCAGAUUAGGUAGUUGGUGGGGUAAAGGCUCACCAAGCCAACGAUCUGUAGCUGGUCUGAGAGGACGACCAGCCACACUGGAACUGAGACACGGCCCAGACUCCUACGGGAGGCAGCAGUGGGGAAUUUUGGACAAUGGGCGCAAGCCUGAUCCAGCAAUGCCGCGUGCAGGAAGAAGGCCUUCGGGUUGUAAACUGCUUUUGUACGGAACGAAACGGCUCUGGUUAAUACCCGGAGCUAAUGACGGUACCGGAAGAAUAAGCACCGGCUAACUACGUG
rnacentral:rRNA from 1 species